rnacentral:rRNA from 1 species
UACGAAGGGGGCUAGCGUUGCUCGGAAUUACUGGGCGUAAAGGGCGCGUAGGCGGAUAUUUAAGUCGGGGGUGAAAGCCCAGGGCUCAACCCUGGAACAGCCUUCGAUACUGGAUAUCUUGAGUACGGGAGAGGUGGUGUGGAACUCCGAGUGUAGAGGUGAAAUUCGUAGAUAUUCGGAAGAACACCAGUGGCGGAGGCGAACACACUGGCCCGUUACUGACGCUGAGGCGCGAAAGCGUGGGGAGCAAACA